CAUAACAUAAUGCCGAGUUCCAUUUUGGAAGCGGAGGAACCACUUUUUGGGGUUAAUUUUGUCAAUUAGGCAAAAGGGAUGUUUUUCUCUUGUCAUCCUACCCGUCAGCUAACUUCGCAGGCUAAAGCAGGGGUCGAA
rnacentral:sRNA from 2 species